GAUCAGGUAGGGAUACCCGCUGAACUUAAGCAUAUCAAUAAGCGGAGGAAAAGAAACCAACAGGGAUUGCCUUAGUAACUGCGAGUGAAGCGGCAAAAGCUCAAAUUUGAAAUCUGGUACCAUUCGGUGCUCGAGUUGUAAUUUGGAGAGGCAACUUCGGAGAGGGCGUUGGCCUAAGUUCCUUGGAACAGGACGUCACAGAGGGUGAGAAUCCCGUGCUUGACUGACUGUCCCUCUUCAUGUGAAGUGUCUUCGACGAGUCGAGUUGUUUGGGAAUGCAGCUCAAAAUGGGUGGUAAACUCCAUCUAAGGCUAAAUAUUGGCGAGAGACCGAUAGCGCACAAGUAGAGUGAUCGAAAGAUGAAAAGCACUUUGAAAAGAGAGUUAAAAAGUACGUGAAAUUGUUGAAAGGGAAGCGCUUGAGACCAGACUCGGUGAUAGGUGAUCAGCGGUUGCUUCUGCUCCGUGCACUUGCCUUUUACCGGGCCAGCAUCAGUUAUAGCGGUGGGAUAAAGACUCAGGGAAUGUGGCUCCCUUCGGGGAGUGUUAUAGCCCUGGGUGUAAUGCCACCUGUUGUGA
rnacentral:rRNA from 1 species